rnacentral:rRNA from 1 species
AUUGAACGCUGGCGGCAUGCCUUACACAUGCAAGUCGAACGGCAGCACGGGUGCUUGCACCUGGUGGCGAGUGGCGAACGGGUGAGUAAUAUAUCGGAACGUGCCCUAGAGUGGGGGAUAACGUAGCGAAAGUUACGCUAAUACCGCAUACGAUCUACGGAUGAAAGUGGGGGAUCGCAAGACCUCAUGCUCCUGGAGCGGCCGAUAUCUGAUUAGCUAGUUGGUGGGGUAAAAGCCUACCAAGGCGACGAUCAGUAGCUGGUCUGAGAGGACGACCAGCCACACUGGGACUGAGACACGGCCCAGACUCCUACGGGAGGCAGCAGUGGGGAAUUUUGGACAAUGGGGGAAACCCUGAUCCAGCAAUGCCGCGUGUGUGAAGAAGGCCUUCGGGUUGUAAAGCACUUUUGUCAGGAACGAAACGGUGGGGGCUAAUACCUCCUGCUAAUGACGGUACCUGAAGAAUAAGCACCGGCUAACUACGUGCCAGCCGCCGCCGUAA